GGGCGAAUGGUUUAGUGGUAUAAUACUCCCUUAGCAUGAUUCUUCUGAAGACGUCUGGGAGUGGUCCAGGGUUCGAUUCCCUGUUCGUCCA